GCCUUCUUAGCUCAGUGGUAGAGCGCUGGUCUCGUAAACCAGAGGUCAAGAGUUCAAUCCUCUUAGAAGGCA